rnacentral:rRNA from 1 species
CCUACGGGAGGCAGCAGUGGGGAAUAUUGGGCAAUGGGCGCAAGCCUGACCCAGCAACGCCGCGUGAAGGAAGAAGGCUUUCGGGUUGUAAACUUCUUUUCUCAGGGACGAAGCAAGUGACGGUACCUGAGGAAUAAGCCACGGCUAACUACGUGCCAGCAGCCGCGGUAAUACGUAGGUGGCAAGCGUUAUCCGGAUUUACUGGGUGUAAAGGGCGUGUAGGCGGGGACGCAAGUCAGAUGUGAAAACCACGGGCUCAACCUGUGGACUGCAUUUGAAACUGGGGUUCGUGAGGACUGGAGAGGCAGACGGAAUUCCUAGUGUAGCGGUGAAAUGCGUAGAGAGUAGGAGGAACACCAGUGGCGAAGGCGGUCUGCUGGACAGCAACUGACGCUGAGGCGCGAAAGCGUGGGGAGCAAACAGGAUUAGAUACCCCAGUAGUC